rnacentral:lncRNA from 1 species
GGAAGGGAAGAAAUAGGAUGUUCCUUCUUCCUCCAGAGGGCCUUCCCCUCUAGCCAAGUUUCGCUCCCUAUCACCCUAUCUCGCCAGCAGCGGCCCCUUUAAGGCCGCCUUGGAGGACCCAGAUUCACAGAGGGCAUCCUCUAGCUGCUGUCUCGAUGGUUAGUCGCCACUUCCGGUAGGAAGUGCAAUUUCAGAGCUACUCCUGCCGGUAGUGGCUAGUGAAUCAGACACGUGGUUUAUCCGGAAGGAGGGGCAGCCCUCUCUCGCCUCCUGCUGGUCGCCGACCCUGGCCCGCAGGGCGACCGAGGUGGCUCUGGCGGAGGCCCUCGUCGGGCCCGGCCCUGGGACACUGAGACCCCAGGGCUCUGGCCAGAGACCGGUGGCCCCUCGGGUUCCUCCAGAAAAUGAGAACUAUCCAUUCCACGGCAAUUGGAUGAUUGAUUCCUCCUGAUGAGUUUUCCAGGUGACCCCAGUUUGAGUGACCCAGGUCAGUUUCCUGGGAGAUGGGUGCAUAUGCUGCGUGAAAAUAUGGUUUCGGUUCUGCUGGUUCUGUGUCAUUGUUUUGAUUUAGGGCCUUCCAGGUUGGUUUCUUUCCUUGAGACGGGGUCUCUCUGUGUAGUCCAGGCUCACGUCAAACUCAUCAUGUGGCCCAGGCUGGCCUCAGACCCACAGUGAUCCUCUCGUGUCAGCCUCCCAAGUGCUGAGAUGACAGUGUGCACCACCAUGCCUGGCUUGGUUUCAUUCUUCACCAUGUGCUCUGUGAGACGGAUAUAAAUAAAUGGAGUCCAAACCCAAAGAGUCGUUGUGCACUCUGUGAUUUCUAAGCCCAGUGGUUCUGUGUGUGUGUGGCCUCCACUGCUGAGAUACACACUCAGUAGCACUGUCUCCAGCUUUUUUUUUUUUUUUUUUUUCUUUUGGUACCGGGGGUUGAACUUGGGUCCUUGCGCUUGUGCAGCAGGCGCAGCAGGCGGUGAAACCACUGAGCUAAAUCCUCC